AAAGUCCAGCUUGAAUCUUCUGGUGUGUGGUCUACACGGAAGUCCUCGGGUCUUGUCAAGAAGUAUUUUUCCCUGAAACACAAACAGGUGCUCCUACCUGCACAUUUCCUGGAACAGUUUGGCAUGUCCACCACACUUAGCUUUUCUUUUCCUCAGCACUUCCUGCGGAUCCGUGGUAUAGCAGUCUUCAUUUUCAUAAACUAAAGUGGAGUAAAAAAGCACCCAAGAUAUUUGCUAUGAAAUAAGUCCCAGAAAAUCAUUUCUCUUUGUGAGGUUAAUGUCCAGCCUCACAUACAAUAUUUGUUUUAUCUUUCCUAAACAGCAGGUGUUGCCAAAGCACCUGGUGGUUUUGUAUAGAUCACCCAGAUAGAUGCUGGAGGGUGUGUAAUAUACAGUAUGUUCAGUUUUUCACUAAUCUUUGUGCAACAGACCACUCUAUGUGUGGAAUUAGUGUAAUGGUCUGGGCAAGACUGUAUAGUUGCUACAGAUCUCCAGAUGUGGUUAUUAACUGCAACAUAACUUCUUGGCACAACAGUGGUCAAGUCAUGGUACUGUACUGUACUUCAAUGGCUGCUCUUCCUGCAGGCUCAUUUUGACAUGACAACCUUCCAGCAGGGCAACACAUACUCAUAUUGCUCGCGUAACAUUGUUUUUCUUUUAAGAUGCAAAUGCAAUAGUAAUGCUGUGAAUACCCUCCUCACCAGACUGGAGCCCCACUGAAUAUUUGCUGAAUGUGCUUAGUCAAAGUAUGUAAACUUGGUCUUGGAGACCAGCGAGCUAACUUCUUCAAACUCCAUGAAAGGAAUGGGAUGCAUCAGGUUUGAAGCCAUGAAUCACAGAUGUACACCUUGUAUUGCUUCCAACAGCACCACACACAUGCUACUAUCCUGUAACUUUCCUGGGUUGAUCAACAAUAUUGAUGACAGAUGUUAAUGUAAUUCAUUUACUUGUGUCUUAUCUGUUCAAUAAAAGGUCAGUGUAACUGCUUCAAAGAUGUUGUCGUUUUCCUGAUUAAACCUUUGUUAAUUGUUUGUAA